AGGUGCGAUGACUAACAAAUCGAGCAGCUUAUGUGUUAUAAUAUUUAACCACUGAUUCGUACAAUACAGUUAUACAGAAGUAAAAAUGCUUGGUUACAAUGAUAGUUGGACAAUGGUAGCAUAUUAAACGCAGACAAAACGCCUACAGACAAAAUCCAGGGCAUGAGUUAGAGCCACCAAAGUUCUCUGCUUAAAUCUAUACCCCACUUAGCGACAAUACUUUAGCGUCUUUAAUGGCUUCCUUUUGACAAAAUCUGCCUCCUUUGUGAAACAUGUUCAGAAGAAAGAGACUACGUUGUACUUCAUCUGCACAUCUGGGCUCUGACCGGCUGACUCAUGUGACUCGAAGAGCCAACCUGAGACAUUUUCUCAGGUCAGAGCUGCGUCAUAAUAGGCUGAGAACUGAAUGCAGACAAUAAAGAACACCAAAGCAGGUGUCCUGUCUUGGACCCCCGCACCGGCACGUAUCUCACCCACCAGCUCUUUAAUGUCUGAGGAUGCAUGGGAGGACGAGGAUGGCAAAGAUGAAGAACAAGACCAUGACUUUUUUAGCCAGAUGGAUAGCAAUGGCAUCAUUAGACUGACACUGAUGGAUGAGAUGCAGAAGGACGAUGGUCAUCCAGCCACCUCUCCUGGUUCCCCCAGCCCAGAGGAAGAUAUUGGAUGUGAGGUAGAAAUACCACCUGAGGAGCUGAGUUACAUCUUAAACGAACAUCUGGAUGAUGGAGACCUACUGUCAAGCUACGGUGAUGACCUUUGUAUCUUAAAAGAACAAAAUGACGAUGAAGACGAGGAGGACAUGACAAACGAAGGGCACGGGACGGAGCACCUAUCUGAGACGGGCAGCUACAUGGACAUGGCUCAAGGGCAGAUAAAUGGGGCAGGAGAGGGGGAGAAAAGUUUCCAAAGGCUGCCAGUGGACAAUAACAAAGACGAGUCAGAGCGCCAGUGUUUUUCUCUGCCAUUUUUAUUCGUAGAAGCUAAUGGAGACUGCAAACCGCCAUGUCCAACAUACCAGGCCUUCUCGUGUCCAAUUACCUCCCAUCUGUGCCCUUUUACCAAGGAGGAAGUGGCUUCUGGUGUAGGCAUUGUACAUGGAAACAUUCCAAAUAUCGGCUUUACAGAUCGUUCUCCAGCCAUGAGCUGCGGGUCCAGUCCCCGCUAUCAACAAAGCUCUGAAAAAAGGGACCAAGAAGAUCUGGAAGAAGCAGCGGACUCUUCAGAAGCGCUACUGACAAAUCAGCACAGCAGUGUCAGUAAUGAGGAUUCAAAUGAGGCUCUUAAAGAGCCCAUUUCCCCACUGGGUCAAACGUCACCUCAAGCUUCUCUUGACCCAUCAAUGGAGGGCCGCCACUAUUCUCCGAAAAGAGCUCAUGAAUCAAGGAAAGGCAGCCAGAGUCACUGGGUGCCAGAUUUGUCCAAGGUAAAGCCUAGGGUCUCUUUUCCCAAAGGGGAUGAUUACAAGCCACCCAAGAGCAGAUGGUCGUCCAAGAAUCCUCCUAAGUCCUUGACGCCUGUUGUUUUUAAAUCUCCUGCUGACAUUGUGAAAGAAGUCCUGCUGAACACGACCGCCGAAUCUCAGACUCCGUCGGACUAUAAUAAAAGAACAUCGACCGGUGUUCCCAGCGCCACGGUGCCUCAGGAGUUCCGAUGCCAACACAAGGCCCAUAUCCUGGCCGAGCAGCUGCAGGAGGACUACAACAGACUGCUGACUAAAUAUGCAGAGGCAGCGAACACCAUUGAUCGUCUACGUCUGGAAGCCAGGGUUAAACUGCACUCGGAGCAACCCCGGCCUGCUCACGUUGAGCCAUCAGGAUUGCAUAUGGAGCCUUCAAAAAUCAUGAAACUGGACUUUCCUCAAGCUCAGAGAGCCCAGCCCAGCGCAGUUUCCCCUCCGCCCAACGGAGCCGGUAUACAAAGAGCUUCCUGUGGCCCCCCGUCAUUAUCGUCCUCCAUCUCCAAAAGCUCAGAUUGCCAAGGGCGUCCACAGCUGGCCAAUGUACUCUACACAAAGGCAGACAAGCUCCUCCAGCAGCUGCAAGGUUUUGAGGAGCUGCUGAAGAGCACAAAACCUCUUCAACAGAUGAAGGCUCUCUCAAAGCUCUAUGAAGGACUGGACUCUUUAGAAAAGGGCUACCUUUUAGCUAAAAAAGAACAGGAAGAUGCAGACAACGGCCACUUUGACCCCAAUCGAGAGCUGGAGGAGUUUAUCUAUCAGUGUGGACUGCAUAUGGAUGAGCUGAAGGAGAAAGUGGAACAGAGGGUUCGUGAUGGUAAUCCUCUUUCUCACAGCACAAAAUCAUCAUCAUCUCUGGAUGAUUCACACUCAGAGAAGUGUCAUAUGCUUGAUUCAUCAGAGAUGAUGGACAGCAGUGGUGAUGAGACUAAAGGAAUUGAUUCUAGCCUGAAUUCUGCUCGCCUCAAGAGAUGCCAAGAACAAGCAGAAAACAUUCAUCCGACCCAUGCUGCUAACAGCAGGAGAAUGAAGGAAGUUAGAAAGUCCUGCAGCAGCAGUCUAAGCAGUCUAGGAGACGUCACUGAGAAGAUGAUCUCCAAACCACAAACUGUGAUCAGGAGAGCCCUCUCUCAGGAUGGGAUCACCUCGCCAGGGACGGAUAGCGGGUUUAUUGGGUCAGAGACGAGUCAUCAGAAUGCGAGCGCGACUCCCGGCUCUCUCCACCGGAGGGUAUCAAAGAGUGUUUCGGACCGUCAGGAGGUGAGGUCAGUGAAGCCUCAGAGAAGCCGAAUGUCAGCACCACCUCAGGGUCCCUCACAUUCACACAGCCCCACACCAAUGGAACCCAGAAAAUAUCGCCAACCAGAGCUGAGAAGAUCCUGCAAGGAUGAGAGCAAACAAGUCCAGCGGGUCAGUCAGACAGACGCUACCAGGGCAGACAGUGAAAGCACCCAGACUUUGUCUGAGGAUGUACAACGUGUCCAGUAUGAAGACUCCCUCCCUUGUUCCUCUCCAAGCCCCUCCACCGCCAGUCUGCACCAUUACUAUGGCGACGCUCUUCAAACAGUGAGGGCCAGCCAGGCGGUGACUUGCAAUGAGCCAAGUCGACCCCGACAGACCAUUUCAGCCAGACCGAAGGAGAGGCGAGAAAGUUCCCGGAGAAACCACAAGGAGUCCAAAGCAGAUCAUUUAGCUCAGCGCAACUGUACUUACCACCGAACUUCAACGCCUCUCAGAUCUGGGGAGCCGUCCAUCGAUAUUGGUGGAAGCAGCCGAAAGAGAUGGAGUAUUUUUCAGGAUGAGACGGAUAAGGUGGUGAGACGCCCAUCUAGGAAAAGACCGCCGCACAAACAACAACCACGACCUGACUCAUCAACUGCAUCAGAGACUGAACCCACUGCUUGUCAACUUCUGGUGUCAAGAUCCACUCAGACGUCCAUUGCUGUCCCUGACACCCAACCCUCCCACACGAGUGCUGCACACGUCCAUCAUAUAAAAUCCGGACUGUGUGCUGCAGAGCAGGAUCAUGCUGAACUGGAGAAAGAAGAUAGCGAGACAGGUGGAGCUCCUCCUUGUUAUCAGUGUUUGUCACAUCACAGCGGCUCCACUGAAAAAUCGGCUGGCGGCAACCGAGAGGCGGCCCACUUCUGCUGCUGCCAUUGUCAUCAUGGUCCUCACUGCCGACGUCAUGAUCCCAAGACGAGAACGGAUCCAGACUGUUGCAGGGACUCAAACCCCGCUAGAACCUCCAGCUGCAAACCCGUGUCCCCCGGCAGGGCAGCAGCAGCUCCCGUGUGCCCCACGCCACUGCUUCUGUACCUCCAACCACAAGCCGUCCACGUGUGCGGCAACAACCCGGGCUCACCAUCCAAGAUCAGCGGUACCAAGGAGGACAGAGAGAGGUUGCGACCAUCGCAACACAUCAUCCCGCGGCGAUCCCUGGAUGAAGCCCUCCUCGAGGCGCGAAGGAUACACGACAGGUCCAAUCGCAUGGUGCGUAAACUGGAUGCAGGUCUGCGCACUCUGGAGCAACUGUCCAAACCCCGCUCCAACUCCAACUAAUGACCUCAGUGCCUGCAAACAUGGAAGCUGCCCUGUGAGGCGUUGGCAAGGAUUUGCUGCUGCUUUUUUUAUUUUUGAGACAACUUUUGAUAGCCAAAUCUGAUUUUAGCGGGCGUAACCAGUAUGAGCUGGCAUGCCAGUCAGGUAGCCAUCAAUACAGUACAGUAAUCCCUCAUUAAUCCCGAUCAACUGGUUCCAGACCAAUCGUGAUAAGGGAAGUUCUGCCAAAUAGGAUUCCUUAUUAUUUUCUAAACCUUCUAAAGAUGCUUUUUUUUUUUACACAUGAAAUAACACAACAAAAUUAGACAUAAAUAAGACUCAUGUUCGUGUGUGAGGCUGUAAAUUUGGUCCAGUAGUAGUGGAGCUACUAAUUGGCAGAGGGACAGGAAGUGAGGUCAGGGGUUCAAAGUUGAGUUUUGUCAUAGCGUGGGUUAUGACCGUUAUUGUGUAUUUUGUGAGAUUAUUCAAACCUGCAAUAAAAGCCUGUUGUUCCGGCGAUAAAGUCUGGUGCUUGUGUGUCUCACCGAACAUUACAGUAACAUUAUUGACACCCAGUGACCAGCGUAGAAUAAUACAUUCAGUUUAGAAUAGAAUAGAAUAGAAUAGAAUAGGACAUAUGUAUAUUUAUAACGUCUUUCAGUGCGUCUUCUGAAUGCCUUAUAUUUGUACUUUAGUUCAUUUUAUGCUUGAAAAUGCUUAAUUUGGGCAAAAUGGUGAGGGAUUACUGUACCGUACUGUAUUUCUUUUCUCUGCUUGAUACGUAUUUUUUAAGAUAACCUCGAUAGAAAAGUGGUGCGAUGGCACCAUGUCCGGGAAAAAAAUACUGCGGCUAUAAAUCCAGCAUAAGUCAAUUCAAUCAACAUUUUCCAGCAGGAAGAUUGUUUGACGAGACUAUAUAUUUUGUAAGUACAAUACUGUAUACUCAUGUGUUAAUAACUGUGAGAGGCACACAUUUUAGGGCUUAAAAGUAUCAACGUGGGCAUUAAUUAUUGACGGCUGUGUCCAUUAUGUGUGUCUUUUGCAUGAACAGACAUGUUGAUCAUGUCCGUUUGUGUUUACUCUGCAGCAUCUCAGCAGUGAUCAGCUUUUUUUAAACAACUGCCAAGACAAUGAUGAUGUCAUGCAGGGGGUGUACAAAGUGUGUUUUUUUUCAGUAUAUCCAUCCAUCCAUUUUAAAUGCUGCUUAUCUCAUGAGAGUCGUGGGGGGAAACUGGAGCCUAUCCCAGCUGUCUUCGGGCGAGAGGCGGGGUACACCCUGGACUGGUGGCCAGCCAAUCACAGGGCACAUACAGACAAACAACCAUUCACACUCACAUUCAUACCUAUGGACAAUUUGGAGUCGCCAAUUAACCUAGCAUGUUUUGGGGAUGUGGGAGGAAACCGGAGUAUGCACCCACGGGGGAGAACAUGCAAACUCCACACAGCCUUUUCACUAUAUUGCAAAAAAUAAAAUACAUUUUGAUGUAGAAAUUUUACUAAUGUGCUUUUCCAAGGACUUUUUUUUGUCUUUGCUUGGUUGUGUUCCUCCAUAUGGCAGAUUUUUUUUUUCUCAAAUGUUCAUGAAAAAUACAAAAAUUAAAAUGUAAAAUUUGUUCCUAGGUCAAAAUCCCACCUUUUUGGGUCCCUAGAGGACAAAAAAGUCUACUGCCAAAAACUGGUAUAAAAACACAACAGAUUAAUAUAUUUCUUUGUACUUUUUUGCUUAAAUAGCUUAAUCAAUUCGAGUCCUAACAAAAAAAUAAAUAAAUAAAUAAAUAUUUGUAUAUUUGAUGUAAUGAUGCCACUGUUUGUUCCUGGAAAACACAUUUUCCGUAUAAUAAAUAUUAGGGAGCUGUGGCUCUACAAAGAGAGAAAAACCUAUUUUGCUUAUAAAGCCCCAAAACUGUACAACAACGUACCAUUUACAUACUGUAACGUGACCAACAUAUCAACCAUAAUAACCUGCUGUUAUUGUAGGAGCUAACACCAAAGAGCUACUUUUCAGGCUUAGUGGUAGCAUUAGCUACUGAAGCUGCUGCUAGCUAUUAAUGCUAGCUUAGAAAUCAUGCCUUGCACGUGUAUAGUGUCAGGUUGAUGCUACAAAUGAAACACUGAAGCUAGUAGCUCUCACCUUAGACACCACCAUGUUGCUAGCAAGACUCGGCUAGCUCCUUGUUUGACAUUUUUACCACCUCAACGGGGAGUGUUGUGUUGAAAGAUACAGACAGAGCAGCUAUUGCUAGCAGACUACGGAAUAAGAAUUCUUGGAAUUCUUUGACGACAAUACUACUGAUCCUGGACCCUUUUACCUGUUCAACACGGCACAGCUUGUCCACUGUCCCCUGGUAAUGUUUCAUGCAGUCCUCAGCAAGCUGCAGGUGAGUGGAGUACUGGAAAAAAAACACACACAGUUGCCACAUGACAUACUAAACUCAUGCAAAGAAACAUACACACACACACAUUCAUCUGAACAUACACACCUUGCUGAGCUCCUUCUGAUACUGUGGCAUCUUCUUCAGCAUCUGGGACAGAUCCCUCAUUGUGGUCUGUUGAAACAAAUGUGGAAUUAGUAUGAACUUAAUGGGCUAUAAUUUUGUGGUGCACCCCAUGCACUGGUCAUUUCGUCCAGCACACCACUGUGCGCAGCCAAUUUGGUAAUUCGGUAGAGAUGGGCGUAGCAGCGCACCAGGACUAAUAUUUUCAGCUUGGUGCAGUGGCAAAAACCAAAGGUGCCAGUGAAAGAUCGCCAUCGCAGACAUUAUCUGUUCUCGGUGCAGGCCAAGCGCACCCUGCGCAGUGGUAAAUUGGCUGACAGGCGCACAGUGCACAAAACCUCACAAGCAGGGUUUUCAGAGUGUCAGGCACAUUUCAAUGCAAUAAACAAUCACAGCAACCACAAUGUAAUGUAACCGUCUGAACCAGCAUGUACAUUUUUUGUAUUAAUUGUCCCAUCA